rnacentral:rRNA from 1 species
CAGGCCUAACCAUGCAAGUCUAACAAAGACCAGUGUGCUUAUCCUCAUGUAACCUGAGCGCACGGACUGCGUAACUCGUAAAGUCAUCUAACUAUCGGGUACAGGGUACUCCCAGAGGUCAAGCGCUACUACCUAGCUGAUAUAGUGGCACCGUCUGUGAUCUUGUUAAUAGUACGAGUUGACGCCUAUAGAUAACCAUGCGUCUGGAAGCUAUUUGGUGAUGUAAAGGACCAGCAGAGGUACCAGCACUACCUGUCAGAAAGGAUGAUCAGUCACACAGGAACAGACACAAGGUCCAGACUCCAUAGGAGGCAGAAUCGAAGAAUAUGGGGCAAUGGUCAAUAUAGUGACCCGAAAAGCCUCUUGGACGAUGAAUGUCGUUAUAUUGUGAACUCCUGUU